rnacentral:misc_RNA from 1 species
GCGAUAGACUUUCAACGGAUUAAUGACGGGUAUCAAUUUAAGCUAAUAGUGACGGAUAUUAAACUAAUUAGCGACGGGUUAUUAACAAAAUUUGUGACGGACAAUAAUUCCAUCAGAAAUCCGUCAGAAAGUUUAGAUUGUAAGACUUAAAACCCUAAUGUUGACAGCCGCAUUUUAUCUCCUCUCUUUCAAAAUGGCUCUUCCUCUUUUCUCUCUUUCUCGACAGUGAGGAGUUGCUCAGUAAUUUGGUUUCAG